rnacentral:rRNA from 1 species
CAUGUAGGCGGUUUUUUAAGUCUGGAGUGAAAAUGCGGGGCUCAACCCCGUAUGGCUCUGGAUACUGGAAGACUUGAGUACAGGAGAGGAAAGGGGAAUUCCCAGUGUAGCGGUGAAAUGCGUAGAUAUUGGGAGGGAACACCAGUGGCGAAGGCGCCUUUCUGGACUGUGUCUGACGCUGAGAUGCGAAAGCCAGGGUAGCGAACG